CAGCCGCCGCGGUAAUACGAAGGGUGCAAGCGUUACUCGGAAUUACUGGGCGUAAAGCGUGCGUAGGUGGUGGUUUAAGUCCGUUGUGAAAGCCCUGGGCUCAACCUGGGAAUUGCAGUGGAUACUGGGUCACUAGAGUGUGGUAGAGGAUAGUGGAAUUUCCGGUGUAGCAGUGAAAUGCGUAGAGAUCGGAAGGAACAUCUGUGGCGAAGGCGACUAUCUGGGCCAACACUGACACUGAGGCACGAAAGCGUGGGGAGCGAACAGGAUUAGAUACCCGUGUAGUCCCUGUCUCUUAUAA
rnacentral:rRNA from 1 species